AAUUUUGGACAAUGGGGGAAACCCUGAUCCCGCAAUGCCCCGUGCAGGAUGAAGGCCUUCGGGUUGUAAACUGCUUUUGUACGGAACGAAAAGUCUUGGGCUAAUAUCCGGGGAUCAUGACGGUACCGUACGAAUCAGCACCGGCUAACUUCGUUCCAGCCGCCGCGGUACUACGUAGGGUGGAAGCGUUAAUCGGAAUUACUGGGCGUAAAGCGUGCGCAGGCGGUUUGGUAAGACAGUGGUGAAAUCCCCGGGGGCAACCUGGGAACUGCCAUUGUGACAGCAAGGCUGGAGUGCGGGAAAGGGGGAUGGAAUUCCGCGUGUAGCAGGGAAAUGCGUAGAUAUACGGAAGAACACCGAUGGCGAAGGCAAUCCCCUGGGCCUGCACUGACGCUCAUGCACGAAAGCGUGGGGAGCAAACAGG
rnacentral:rRNA from 1 species